rnacentral:lncRNA from 1 species
AGAGCUCCAGGGGGUAGUGCUCCCCGUAGUGCUGCAGGUGCCGCUCCAGCGCCGCGCGCUGCCUGCGCAGGUUGGGGGGCAUCUCCAGGUACACGUCCGAGAACAGGAGCUGGGGGCUGGGCUUGGGCUUGCGCUCCGCCUGCUCGAACGCCUCCAUCACCUGCAAAAGGGGGGGGGGCACCCCCAAAUCGGCCGCGAUUCGCCCCAAAAUGAAGAGGUGGGGGGGGCGGGGGGGGCGUUGGGAACACGGAUGUAGCCUGUGGGGUGGCACAAGCGCGUGCGGGGCGUCCUCUCUGUGGGGUGAUGGGUUUGGGGCAUCACAUACGUGUAUGUUGCGUGUUGGGGGCGUCACGUGUGUGUAUGCUGCGUGUUCGGGGCAUCACACGCGUGUAUGCUGCGUGUUUGAGGCACUACACGUAUGUAUGCUGCGUGUGUGGGGUGUCACACGCGUGUAUGCUGCGUGUGUGGGGUGUCACACGUGGGUAGGUUGCAUGUUUGGGGUGUCACAUGCGUGUAGGCUGCGUGUUUGAGGCACUACAUGCACGUAC